CUCUGAGCCCAGGCCAGGCCAUCGCAUCCCCUGUGACUUGCACGUAUACAUCCAGAUGGCCUAAAGUAACUGAAGAUCCACAAAAGAAGUAAAAACAGCCUUAACUGAUGACAUUCCGCCAUUGUGAUUUGUUCCUGCCCCACCCUAACUGAUCAAUGUACUUUGUAAUCUCCCCCACCCUUAAGAAGGUUCUUUGUAAUUCUCCCCACCCUUGAGAAUGUACUUUGUGAGAUCCACCCCUGCCCACCAGAGAACAACCCCCUUUGACUGUAAUUUUCCAUUACCUUCCCAAAUCCUAUAAAACGGCCCCACCCCUAUCUCCCUUCGCUGACUCUCUUUUCGGACUCAGCCCGCCUGCACCCAGGUGAAAUGAACAGCCAUAUUGCUCACACAAAGGCUGUUUGGUGGUCUCUUCACAUGGACGCGCAUGAAAUUUGGUGCCGUGACUCAGAUUGGGGGACCUCCCUUGGGAGAUCAAUCCCCCGUCCUCCUGCUCUUUGCUCCAUGAGAAAGAUCCACCUAUGACCUCAGGUCCUCAGACCGACCAGCCCAAGAAACAUCUCACCAAUUUCAAAUCCGGCCAAGGAAUGCCUGCAGCCCAGGAUUCCUCCUAAGCCGUGUCCCAUCUGUGCGGGACCCCACUGGAAAUCGGACUGUUCAACUCACCUGGCAGACACUCCCAGAGCCUCUGGAACUCUGGCCCAAGGCUUUCUGACCGACUCCUUCUCGGCUUUGUGGCUGAAGACUGAUGCUGCCCGAUCGCCUCGGAAGCCCCGUAGACCAUCACGGACGCCGAGCUUUGGGUAACUCUCACAGUGGAAGAAGGCAGGAACGUCAGGCCUCUGAGCCCAGGCCAGGCCAUCGCAUCCCCUGUGACUUGCACGUAUACAUCCAGAUGGCCUAAAGUAACUGAAGAUCCACAAAAGAAGUAAAAACAGCCUUAACUGAUGACAUUCCGCCAUUGUGAUUUGUUCCUGCCCCACCCUAACUGAUCAAUGUACUUUGUAAUCUCCCCCACCCUUAAGAAGGUUCUUUGUAAUUCUCCCCACCCUUGAGAAUGUACUUUGUGAGAUCCACCCCUGCCCAUCAGAGAACAACCCCCUUUGACUGUAAUUUUCCAUUACCUUCCCAAAUCCUAUAAAAUGGCCCCACCCCUAUCUCCCUUCGCUGACUCUCUUUUCGGACUCAGCCCGCCUGCACCCAGGUGAAAUAAACAGCCAUGUUGCUCAUACAAA